CGUUGAACCAUCAGGGAAAAUCCCCAUUUUGCCAAUGGUUGACAUGCGUUUUGACCAUUGUCAUGGUCCGGCAAGAGCGAUAUUUGGAUUUCCCAUAUUGGAAUCAGAAGAACCAUUUGCAAAGUUCAUUACGCUGUUAACUUUCAAAAUGUGUUUGGCGGAAAGCAAUUUCCUUUGUUGUUAACAGCAUCCCGCCCAAAACUUCCUUUACGCAAAAUGGGUUCUCAUAAAAGCAACGUUAACUUAAUUUCGUCCAGAUUGCAUGUUAUCUUAUUUAACUUGAGCUGUCCCAUGUGUGCCUGUGGUGUUUGGCUGCUGACGAAGGCAUUUCUGAUCUAAACACUGUAAGGUGGUGAAUUUACUGAAAGGUCAUAUGUUAUGUGAAGGAUCCUUAUCCCUGGCUAGACUAAAGGAUUGAGAUGUCUUUUGCGCAAUUCUGGUUUCUAAAGUGGCGACCUGUCCUACGAUGGUUUCCUGCCCGUCACACCGUUGUCAGUACUUCCAUGCUGCUUGCCAUUUUCCGCAUUCUGGCUCUUGUCAGGAGAAGAGAGGGGUGGAUAUUCGUACGGCCGGCGUCUGGGCGAGUCGGCCAGGUACAUUGGGCAAUUGAAUGUGAAUGAGAGCGAUUUGUCAUUUUAUCAUGUAAAGCAAAUAACCCAUUCUCACCCCGCUGAUGAUCUGAAGGGGAGCAGUCUGCUCCGUACUAAAGGA